rnacentral:rRNA from 1 species
UACGUAGGUGGCAAGCGUUAUCCGGAUUUAUUGGGCGUAAAGAGAACGCAGGCGGUCUUUUAAGUCUGAUGUGAAAGCCUUCGGCUUAACCGGAGUAGUGCAUUGGAAACUGGGAGACUUGAGUGCAGAAGAGGAGAGUGGAACUCCAUGUGUAGCGGUGAAAUGCGUAGAUAUAUGGAAGAACACCAGUGGCGAAAGCGGCUCUCUGGUCUGUAACUGACGCUGAGGUUCGAAAACGUGGGUAGCAAACAGG